UGCAUUAAAGAGCUAGUUGAUCAACUAAGAACACUUCAAAAGGACUUUAGAGGAUGUUCCAAGCUUUAAUGCCAAUUUGAAUAUUGGGAAAAAAAUCACUUGCCAACCUUUCAUGAGAUAUUUGGAUCACCUGGGUCUAUGUAGAAAUUCUAAGGACAUAGUGUUAUUUUAAUAACUCCUUCAUUCAAAAAUAAUUAUGGAGCUGGUUCUGUGCAUACACUGGAUAACAUGAAGAAACUGAGGCAGAAGAGGGAAUGUUGGGAGCUUGCAGAUCAAAAGUAAAAAAUCCAGGACUUCAAGAUUCAGGAAAAGCAGGGGUUUGAAGAAUUCAACUACCAAACUACCAGAGAGCCCAAAGUCACCAAACCCUCAGUGACAGAGCUAGAGACUUUCAGCAUCAAGUACAGACUAAAAUCUAACUCUAAGGACAAGGGAAGAAAGAAGCAUCAUCAGCAGGGAUAGGCACUUUGGAACAUGCAAAUAAGAAUACAGAGACCAGAGUCACAACACAGCACAGUGAUUAAGAGUGUGAGAAGAUGAAAACUCCACAACAUUUCUUUGGAGCUGGAAUCUUAGCACAACCACCCAUGUGACUUUGAGCAAGUCAUCU